rnacentral:rRNA from 1 species
UACAGAGGUCUCAAGCGUUGUUCGGAUUCAUUGGGCGUAAAGCGCACGUAGGCGGCUUAGCAAGUCGGAUGUGAAAGCCCUCGGCUCAACCAAGGAAGUGCAUCCGAAACUGCUGAGCUUGAGUACUUAAGAGGAUCGCGGAAUUCCCGGUGUAGAGGUGAAAUUCGUAGAUAUCGGGAGGAACACCAGUGGCGAAGGCGGCGAUCUGGGAAGAUACUGACGCUGAGGUGCGAAAGCGUGGGGAGCAAACAGG